CGGGGCAUAGCUCAGCUGGAUAGAGUAGGAAACUUCUAAUUUCUUGGUCGGUGGGUUCGAAUCCCCCUGCCUCGGCCA
rnacentral:tRNA from 1 species